AUGGACGCCUCCUGGGACCCAGCCUGCUUCCGUCCGCGUCCGCCGCUGCACCGUCGGGGCCGCAUGCCCUUCCCAGAAGCACGUGCUCGCCGCCACCACCGCCACCACCAUUGCCACUCAUGCCUACAGGACAGACAGCUGGACGCCAGGUGGUCAGCUGGGGCUGGGCGGACAGCUGAGGUCAGCCCACGGAUCAAAGGGACAGAGCCACCUGAUAGGUUUCUCUGCGGCCAGUCCUGCUGUCCUGGCCCCAGCAGCCAUGCCACUGACUUUCCCAGGGGCACGGCGCCACGCCAGAAGCGGGCCCUGGGCAGUCUCCGGGCCGAAGGAGGUCAUCUUGAGAUGGACUUUUGUCUGAGGAAAACAAGUCAGAAAACAAUCCUGACUUGGCCACGCGUUCGCCUUGUGCAGUUGCCAGAGCCCAGGAGCUGGCUGUGCCCGUGUGACUGUCGGACCUGCCCCUGGGAGUGGGGACUGUGGGGCACCAGUCUGUGUGCGGCUAGUUGCAGAGGCAGGGGAUGGAGGGGCUCCUGGUGCAGAGCGAGCCUUGUUUCUUGUGAAAUGUAGCAUCGUUGUCAUUAAACCAGUGGUGGGUUCAUGCACUGCUAGGGCUGGCUGUCCAUCUGUCUGGUCCCCAGCUGGGGUGUCCUGAUGUCGCAGACGGGGGCAGGCAGCUUGUCCUGGGUGAGCUGGUUAUGGAGAAGACUCGCAGUGUAUAAGAGGUGCCGGUGACCCCAAAUUCAGGGCCCCUGGGGCCGAGGACGGGGGUAUGGCCCUGCUGCGGGGAAGAGGCACACCCCUGGUUGCCAUCUGGAAGGGGGAGAGUGGGGUGGGAGUGGUGGUCUCUGCACGCAGAAGGCCGGUCACGGUGGGGUAGAGGGAGGGCUGGGGGUGGAGGAGCCGAUGAGGACAGGGGGUUAGGGGUGAGGGGGCCGCACAGCAGCUCUCAGGCAGGGCAGGCGCCGCUCCCACCUCUACCUGACAGGCGGGGAAACUGAGGCCAGUGGGUGACCUUGCUGGCCCAGCAUCUCACACAGGGGAGAUGGGAUGGGGGGGCAGGCAAGAUUUGUUGCUUUGUUGUCAUUCUGUCCUUCCUUGAACAUANNNNNNNNNNNNNNNNNNNNNNNNNNNNNNGGGUGGCAGGGGAGGGGGGUGAGGAUGCCAUGAGGACCGGAGAAGAGGGGGAUUUGGAAGUGGUCGAGGGGAGUAGAGGUCUUGGGGCUGGAGGGGAAAGCCAGCUUAGGCCAGAGGAGUGGUGGUUCCAACAGGACCUGGCAGGUCAGGGGUCCCCAAGGGGGUCUGGAGAAGAGGGGUGAGCCCCCCUACAGUGAGCAGCUGCCCACAGCUGGCCAGCACCCAGGCCCUUCCCUGUAGGUGAAGGAGCCCUGUCCAGGGCAGUGGGGACCGGAGACACCAGGCCACAACGCCUGCCCUUCCGGGCCCCAGUUGUGGCAGACCGUGAGAAGCAUGUGUGGCUGGGACAGGGGGCGGGUGGCAGGAGGCCCUGGGGAAGGGCACCUUUGAACCCAGAGCCCGAGAAGAGCCGUGUGAUCAGGGGCCUGGAGAG
rnacentral:lncRNA from 1 species